UACAGAGGUCUCAACCGUUGUUCGGAUUCAUUGGGCGUAAAGGGUGCGUAGGUGGUCGCGUCAGUCGGAUGUGAAAUCUCGGGGCUCAACCCUGAAACUGCAUUCGAUACUGCGUGGCUAGGGUACUGGAGAGGAGACUGGAAUUUACGGUGUAGCAGUGAAAUGCGUAGAUAUCGUAAGGAAGACCAGUGGCGAAGGCGAGUCUCGGGACAGUUACCGACACUGAGGCACGAAGGCCAGGGGAGCGAACGGG
rnacentral:rRNA from 1 species